rnacentral:rRNA from 1 species
AUGAACGCUGGCGGCAGGCUUAAUACAUGCAAGUCGAACGGUAACAGUACUAGCAAUAGUAGCUGACGAGUGGCGCACGGGUGCGUAACGCGUAUGCAACCUACCCAUAAUUGGAACAUAACGUUGAGAAAUUAACGCUAAUAUUUCAUGUGAAUAUGAAGAGGCAUCUUUUUAUAUUUAAAGAUUCAUUGAUUAUGGAUGGGCAUGCGUAUCAUUAGCUAGUUGGUGAGGUAACGGCUCACCAAGGCAACGAUGAUUAGGGGUUCUGAGAGGAUAUCCCCCCACACUGGAACUGAGACACGGUCCAGACUCCUACGGGAGGCAGCAGUAGGGAAUAUUGGGCAAUGGAAGCAAUUCUGACCCAGCCAUGCCGCGUGAAGGAAUACAGCCCUAUGGGUUUUAAACUUCUUUUAUUAUAGAUUAACCGGAGGUACGUGUACCUCCCUGCAAGUAUAUGAUGAAUAAGGAUCGGCUAACUCCGU